CCUACGGGAGGCAGCAGUGGGGAAUAUUGCACAAUGGGGGAAACCCUGAUGCAGAAACGCCGCGUGAGUGAAGAAGCAUUUCGGUACGUAAAGCCCUAUCAGCAGGGAAGAGAAUGACGGUACCUGACUAAGAAGCCCCGGCUAACUACGUGCCAGCAGCCGCGGUACUACGUAGGGGGCAAGCGUUAUCCGGAUUUACUGGGUGUAAAGGGGGCGCAGACGGCAGGCCAAGCCAGAAGUGAAAGCCCGGGGCUUAACCCCGGGACGGCUUUGGAAACUGGCUGGCUGGAGUGCUGGAGGGGCAGGCGGAAUUCCUAGUGUAGCGGUGAAAUGCGUAGAUAUUAGGAGGAACACCAGUGGCGAAGGCGGACUGCUGGACAGUAACUGACGUUGAGGCGCGAAAGCGUGGGGAGCAAACAGGAUUAGAUACCCGUGUAGUC
rnacentral:rRNA from 1 species